rnacentral:rRNA from 1 species
UACGUAGGGGGCAAGCGUUGUCCGGAAUCAUUGGGCGUAAAGAGCGCGUAGGCGGUCCGGUAAGUCCCGCUCUGAAAGUCCGGGGCUCAACCCCGGGAGGCGGGCGGAUACUGUCGGGCUAGAGUCCGGAAGAGGCGAGUGGAAUUCCUGGUGUAGCGUGAAAUGCGCAGAUAUCAGGAGGAACACCGGUGGCGAAGGCGGGUCUCUGGGCCGAUACUGACGCUGAGGCACGAAAGCGUGGGGAGCAAAGCAGG